GCCUCGCCUAUCCAUCCACUGAGAUCUGGGCGUCAAUGGAGUUUCGCCGGCGUUCCGCCCGGCUGCGCGCCGGAGCGGACCGCAUCAGCGCCCUCCCCGACGACCUGCUCCUCCUCGUCCUCGCCCGCCUCCGCUGCGCCCGCGCCGCCGCGCGCACGGGGCUAAUCUCGCGCCGCUGGCGCGGCCUCGCGGCCCGCCUCCGCGAGAUCGUCUUCCGCGGGGUCGCCCUCCACAGGCUCGAAGCCGCGCUCGGCCGCCUGUCUCCCGCGGUCUCGCUCCUCGAGAUCCGCGUCCCCAAGGAGCGCCGCGCCGACACCGCCCGCGGCAAGUUGCUGCUCCGCGUCGGCACCGCCCGCGCCAACUCGCUGCUCCGCGCCGCCGCGCGGCUCGAGCCGGAGGAGCUCGUCUUCGACCUCCCCUCCGAUCUGGUCGACGGCUCCCUCGUCGUCGACCUGCCCUGCCUGCGCCGCGCCACCUCCAUCGCGCUGCGAAUCUUCCUCCUCAUCCUCCGCGUGCCCGACGGCGCCGAAUUCCCGGCGCUAGAGUCACUGUCCCUGUCGUGCGGCAUCGCCCACGCCCACCUCGACGCCCUGCUCCGCCACUGCCCACGCCUGCGCGCGCUCCGGCUCGGCGGCUUCUUGUUCGACCAAGGCGACCUGAGGGUCAACUCGGCGUCGCUGCAGGAGCUGGCCGUGGACCGCGAGAGCGGGCUGACACACCGCGUCGACAUCGUCGCCCCGGCUCUCAAGCAAUUGUCCAUGUCCUUGAUAGCCACAGAGGUCACCAUCUCCGUCUUGGCUCCAAUGGUGGAGAAGGUCUCGUGGCACUGCUGCUACAGGGCAGGGUCUGUUACCUUUGGUCUCUGGGAGCUUGAGCAGGUGACGCUGGAGACAUCAGAGAGGCAAGGACAGCUCGCUUCGCUGCAGAUUCAUGCCUCCAUAUUCCGGUCAAAUUUCCCCGGUGGGGCGAUCAGCUUCACGCAAGAGAUAGCGAAGCAUAUGGUUGCUGCCUUCUCCGCUCUGGAGCUUCAUCUCAAAACAGCCGGGCAUAUUUUUGGAGCAAUUGUGUUUCUUCUCCUUGGAAUGAAUCGAAUUCAUCCAGCUGUGCGCAGGCUUAAGCUCGUCCUAUGGAGAACAAAGGUGAGAGAAGGAUGCCUACCAAAUUGUCCAUGUCAGCCCACUGACUGGAGAUCCCAAACUGUCUCCUUCACUCAUCUUGAAGAAGUGGAAAUCACUGGCUUUAAAGGGGUGGGUCAUGAGUUUGAUUUCUUGAAAUUGAUGCUUGGGUGUUCACCAGUACUUAAAAAAAUGACUUUGAAGCUGUCACGUGAUGUGUGGUCAAGGAAAGAUGGAUGCACGAUAAUAAACGACAUCUUCAAGGAGUAUCCUUCCAUGCAAUGCUAUGUUUAUCUUUCCUAUGGUAAGUGUAUGUUCAGCGUGCUCUGUUAAUCCUUGUAGGUUUUGUUCAAGCCUAAAGCCAAGUUAAGUUGUGCUUGUGCUUUUCAAAUUCUGAACUUAGACAUGCCAAUUACAAAGUCUGGCUGCACGUGUGUAUCCCAGGGUUCAAGCAUGGCUACCAAAAUUAUCAUUGACAUGAUUCUCAUCCUUUCAUCUGCAAAUUCUUUGGUUCGCAUUGGCAAGAUCAUCCUUUCCCAUAUUGGGAAACUCGAUACAUUUUGCGUAGUUUCAGGAGUAAUUUUGCUUGGUUGCUUUAACCGAUGAACGUAAGUGAAUUGUUGAGUGGUUGCCAUGCCAAUCAAUCAUGGAUGUGAUAUAUUGUGUUCGGCCAACC